rnacentral:lncRNA from 1 species
CCGAAUUCAAGCAAAGGGCUCCUGUAAGAGUUGAGGUGGUGAGGGACCAUGGUGAGGGUAAGCUGAUGACUAGGCCCUUAAGUCCCGGGGAAUGGCGGGAGAGUUCAAGUCCUGUUCGGUAUCAUACUGAAGAGAAAUGGAAUAAGCCUUCUAGACCCGUUCAGUAUGACGUCGAAGAGAAAUGGAAUAAGCCAUCGAGUCCUGUUCGGUAUCGUGUCGAAGAGAAAUGGAAUAAGCCAUCUAGUCCUGUUGGUUAUGGUGUCGAAGAGAAAUGGAGUAGGCCUUCGAGUCCUGUUCGGUACCAUGUCGAAGAGAAAUGGACGAACCGGCCUUCAAGUCCGGUUAAGGAACGUCCACAACAAGUUCCGGAUUUCAUUACCAAAGUUCAAACUCAAGCUAGCCGACCAAACAAGUUCGGUCCUCUCAGCGCAACAUAUUGGCGCCAGACACCAGCCACGACCACCACAACCGUUGGU